AAGCAGAUUGCCGAUGGCAAAGAAGUAGAUGUCUCAAGCAAGAAGCCAGGAAGAGCUGGCCGAAAGAGAAAGGAGCUGGAUUUAGCGAGGACCUCAACAAUCCCACUGAAUAAAAGGACAAUUCGAUCUCUGGCACGGUCUCUAGGUGUUGCCCGAUCGGACCUACAUAAUAGGUUCCAGUUGAAUGAGCUCAACCGCAUCGCAAGCACUGUGAAGCCUCACCUCAAGCCAGAGAACAAGUUUGCGAGAUUGAAAUUUUGCAUGUCCAUGCUCGAUGACAAUUGGAUCUCAACUUCUUGGGCUAUGUUCAAGCCAAUGACCAAUAUAGUUCACAUCGAUGAAAAGUGGUUUGACAUGAUGAGAGUGAAGAAUAGUUACUAUGUACUUCCAGGAGAACCUGAACCCAAGCGCACCGUGUCAAACACUAACAACAUUGGGAAGGUAAUGUUCCUAACAGCUGUGGCCAGGCCUCGAUAUAACAAUGAGGGGAGCUAA
rnacentral:rRNA from 1 species